ensembl:snRNA U6 U6 spliceosomal RNA
GUUCGCUUCAGCAGAACAUGUACAAAAAUUGGAACGAUACAGAGAAGAGUAGCAUGGCCCUGCACAAGGAUGACAAGCAAAUUUGUGAAGCAUUCCAAGGCUUU